AGCUCCAACAGCGUAUAUUAAAGUUGCUGCAGUUAAAACGCUCGUAGUUGUUGUCCAACUAUCGGUCGCAUUUCUUAGGAUUCGCGUCCAAUUAGUUUAGCGGGAGUCCCUCCCGCCAAAACCUUGAGGAAAGAUUAGUGUUCCAAACAAUCACAUUUUGACCUCCCCAGCAUGGUAUUUAACCAGAGCGAAGAAGAUGCUUGCCACAUCUUCAUCUUACUAAAUAGAAAUUCAAGGGGGUAUACGUACUCUAAUGUCAGAGGUGAAAUUCCUGGAUUUUUGGAAGACGAUCAAUUGCGAAAGCAUUCACCAAACGACUUUUCU
rnacentral:rRNA from 1 species